UUCACCAUCUCCAUAUAUUGUUAACGAAAAAAGUGGUUGUUGAUCUUAGAAGUUGAAGAAAAAGAGUGUGUAUUGUGUUAGUCUUGCAAGACAUAGAUCCAAGUUUCAAGGUGUAGUACUUGUGACUCAAAGACUUUUCCUAUACACUAAAGACUUUACAUCACUUCUCAACCACUUUCCCAUGAAACAAGGGUCCAUGUUUUAAGGAAAAGUACUACAAAAGUCAAGUCUUGAAAUGUGAAAUUUGAAAAAAAGGCUCCAAGACUUAUU
rnacentral:lncRNA from 1 species